rnacentral:rRNA from 1 species
AGAUUGAACGCUGGCGGCGUGCCUAACACAUGCAAGUCGAGCGGUAACAGGCGUAGCAAUACGUGCUGACGAGCGGCGAACGGGUGAGCAAUGCUUCGGAAUCUGCCCAAUGAUGGGGAAUAACCAGUCGAAAGAUUGGCUAAUACCGCAUACGCCCUUCGGGGGAAAGCGGGGGCUCGUAAGACCUCGCGUCGAUGGACUGAGCCGAAGUCGGAUUAGCUAGUUGGUAGGUACGCCUACCAAGGCGACGAUCCGUAGCUGGUCUGAGAGGACGACAGCCACACUGGGACUGAGACGACGGCCCAGACUCCGUACGGGAGCAGCGAGGUGGGAAUAGUGGACAAGUGGGGGCAACCCGUGACUCCGAGCGACGCCGCGUG